GAUGAACGCUGGCGGCGUGCCUAAUACAUGCAAGUCGAGCGAACAGACGAGGAGCUUGCUCCUCUGACGUUAGCGGCGGACGGGUGAGUAACACGUGGAUAAUCUACCUAUAAGACUGGGAUAACUUCGGGAAACCGGAGCUAAUACCGGAUAAUAUAUUGAACCGCAUGGUUCAAUAGUGAAAGACGGUUUUGCUGUCACUUAUAGAUGGAUCCGCGCCGCAUUAGCUAGUUGGUAAGGUAACGGCUUACCAAGGCAACGAUGCGUAGCCGACCUGCGAGGGUGAUCGGCCACACGGGAACUGGAACACGGUCCAGACUCCUACGGGAGGCAGCAGUAGGGAAUCUUACGCAAUGGGCGAGAGCCUGACGGAGCGACGCCGCGUGAGUGAUGAAGAUCUUCGGAUCGUAAAACUCUGUUAUUAGGGAAGAACAAAUGUGUAAGUAACUAUGCACGUCUUGACGGUACCUAAUCAGAAAGCCACGGCUAACUACGUG
rnacentral:rRNA from 1 species